AAACAGUAACAACAAAAAAGCUGUAACCUCAAAUAGGUGGUUUCUUUUAUCUACCAAUUUGUCCAAGCCACGUGGGUAAGGCAGUGGUGACAGCUGGCUCUGUGAAUCUUUGGGGUACAGCAAAGGGGGUCUGGAUGCUGGGAUGGGCGGGGCUUUUGCGUCCAGCCGGCAUUCAGGAGGGAGUGGGCGCCUUUCCCUUCCCAUGACCUCCACCUGUUGGGGCUGGUGCCCUCAAGUAGAUGCCCCGCCCACCACCACUGUGCCCCCCUCACCCUCCAGCCGGCAGCCAGCCAGCCCCCUGACCCCUGACCCCUGUCUCCCUCUCUCCCCGCAGCUGACCACAGUGGCCGAGAAGUCCCGGGUGCUGCAGCUGGAGGAGGAGCUCACCCUGCGACGCGGUGAGAUCGAGGAGCUGCAGCAGUGCCUGCUGCACUCGGGACCCCCGCCCCCGGACCACCCCGACGCCGCCGAGACCCUGCGGCUGCGGGAGCGCCUGCUGUCGGCCAGCAAGGAGCACCAGAGGGAGAGCGGGGUGCUGCGGGAUAAAUACGAGAAGGCCCUGAAGGCCUACCAGGCGGAGGUGGACAAGCUCCGUGCGGCCAACGAGAAGUACGCGCAGGAGGUGGCGGGCCUGAAGGACAAGGUUCAGCAGGCCACCAGCGAGAACAUGGGGCUCAUGGACAACUGGAAAUCCAAGCUGGACUCGCUGGCCUCGGACCACCAGAAGUCCCUGGAGGACCUCAAGGCCACCCUGAACUCGGGCCCAGGCGCCCAGCAGAAGGAGAUCGGCGAGCUGAAGGCGGUGAUGGAGGGCAUCAAGAUGGAGCACCAGCUGGAGCUGGGUAACCUGCAGGCCAAGCAUGACCUGGAGACCGCCGUGCACGUGAAGGAGAAGGAGGCCCUGCGGGAGAAGCUGCAGGAGGCCCAGGAGGAGCUGGCCGGGCUGCAGCGGCACUGGCGGGCCCAGCUGGAGGUGCAAGCCAGCCAGCACCGGCUGGAGCUGCAGGAGGCCCAGGACCAGCGCCGGGACGCCGAGCUGCGCGUGCACGAGCUGGAAAAGCUGGACGUGGAGUACCGGGGCCAGGCGCAGGCCAUCGAGUUCCUCAAGGAGCAGAUCUCGCUGGCCGAGAAGAAGAUGCUGGACUACGAGCGGCUGCAGCGGGCCGAAGCCCAGAGCAAACAGGAGGCUGAGAGGUUGCGGGAGAAGCUCCUGGUGGCCGAGAACAGACUCCAGGCGGUGGAGGCCCUGUGCUCCUCCCAGCACACCCACGUAGGCGCCUGCCCCGCCUGCUGGGGCGGGAGGGUCGGGCUGGGGAGGGCUAGGGCGUUUGCUGACCUCUGUUUUGCAGCCCAGGAAGCAUUUUCCUUGUCCCCGAGAGGAUGCCUGGGGCAGUCGAAGGGGGGUACCUGGCUCAGAAGAGGAGCUCCUUGGCCCUCUUUUAGAGGAGCAGCGAGCCCCAGUGACCAGGGAAAACCCAAGCUGGUCUGAGCUGACCCAGCUGCACCCCCCCACGGAGCAGAGCUGGAGAGAUGGGAGCUCAGUGCCCAGGACGGCCUUCUGCCCAGUCCCUAAGCCUUCAUUUAGCCACACGUGUCUUAGGGUACAGGCUCCUGCGACCCGGGACCUCAGACCCUGCACCUGAGGCUGGCACAGACCUGAGGGCAAUCUCUGCCUCUCCCCCUGGGGGCUUCCAUCUCCCACUCAGAUGCCCACAUGGGGAACCAGGGGCAGCCCCCUUUCUGCCAGUCCUAAUGGAACUUUAGCAGCGGUGCAGCAAGUACUUCCCCAGAAUGUGGGGGUUCCCAGAGUGGGGCCUGGAAGGCUAGAGGGAGGUGGCCCUAAAGAGGUCACUGUCACCAGUGUCAGUUUUGCUCCAAAUCUAGAAAUUCCUUGAGCAUCUACCCCUUCUUCCUUCAGCUGAGCCCAUCCUCCCAGCCCCUCUGAGGAGGUCCACACCCACUUGAGCUGUGUCCGCCCCACCAGGGCCAGGAAGGGCCUUCUGAGUGGCUCUGGCAUCAUGUCUUAUGCCAGGCCCUAUGUGACUCCAUUUCACCUUAACAUCCUUAGAUUGAUACUGGCUGCAUUUCACAGGUGAGCAAGCCGAGACUUUCCCAGGACCCCAGCCCCUCAGCGGCAGAGAUGUCCAACCCCAUUGCCUGUGGGGCUGACAGGGUACCCAGGACAAUAGGAAUUAAUUCACAGGAUAGAUGGCUAGAAAUGGACUCUUGCCUGGAUACAAAUUGCACUCAGGGAUUCUUGAGUUUUCAGUUCCCCACUUACAUUUGUUUUUUUGUUUUUUGGGUUUUCUUGAGAUGGAGUUUCGCUCUUGUCGCCCAG